AACGAACGCUGGCGGCAGGCUUAACACAUGCAAGUCGAGCGCCCCGCAAGGGGAGCGGCAGACGGGUGAGUAACGCGUGGGAAUCUACCCAUCUCUACAGAAUAACGCAUGGAAACGUGUGCUAAUACCGUAUACGUCCUUCGGGAGAAAGAUUUAUCGGAGAUGGAUGAGCCCGCGUUGGGUUAGCUAGUUGGUGGGGUAAAGGCCUACCAAGGCGACGAUCCAUAGCUGGUCUGAGAGGAUGAUCAGCCACACUGGGACUGAGACACGGCCCAGACUCCUACGGGAGGCAGCAGUGGGGAAUAUUGGACAAUGGGCGCAAGCCUGAUCCAGCCAUGCCGCGUGAGUGAUGAAGGCCCUAGGGUUGUAAAGCUCUUUCACCGGUGAAGAUAAUGACGGUAACCGGAGAAGAAGCCCCGGCUAACUUCGUGCCAGCCGCCGCCGUAAUAC
rnacentral:rRNA from 1 species